AGCCUCUCUUGUCUCGGCCCUGCUCCGAGCUGCAGCUGGCAGCUCGCAACAAGGCCCUGCACCCACACCCUUUGUAAUAAACCGAUAGUUUCACGACUUGGCUGCAGAGAUCUCUCAUCUCUGUCCGUCCCGACCGUGCGUGACCCCCGUCUCUCCUACAGACACUCCCACAGACGUUCCUACAGGGCUCCCUGGAAGUAAAGGGAGAGGGUUUCUCCUCAGCCUCACCAGAGCCUUUUCCGGGCAGGGCAGUUCCGACCCAUCCCCACAUUCUCGUGAACUUUGCGUUGUCUGCCUUCCUUGACUCGACGUAGUCAUGGCUCUUUUCCCCGAGGAGCUCGCCUUCAGGUCCCCGAGGCUGCUGAUUUCCCCAGGAUCUGCCAUUUACGUCAAGGAGCGACAGCCAGAAGAUGUGUCAAAGCACGUUCUUCAGCAUCUCAGAAAGGUGGAGAUGUGCAGAAGGGGCUGCAUGAAGUGAGAUGAAAUUUGGGGCAGCUUCUUAAAUUUAGAGAACAAGAAAGGACCCUGAAUUUGAUGCAUCCACAUCCCAUCUGUCACCUGGAAUCCACCGUUUGUCAGCUCUAUUCCCAGUUGGGAGAAGUGAAGAGGAUCUGUGAAAGCAAGGUCCAAGACCUUGAGAAGCAGUUCUACCUAGCUCAUUCUGAGACAGCAGAAGCUCAGACAGGCAGCACUCAGAAUUCCAAACUGAGGACCCGUGUUAUUUCUCAGACAAGAAAUACGGGACAUGGAAGCCCCAUGCAGCAGAGUGUCAAGGAUGAGAAAGAAGCUAGAAUAUGUGAAAUGGAGGCCAAGCUGAGCAAACUGGAGCUGGAAAAGGUUCAACUGGUUAGCACAUGCACCAAGAGGCUCCAGGCACUGAUUGAUGCAAAACUGGAAAAAGAUGAUCUCCUGCAGGAACUCUGGGCUGGCCAGAGGGAGCUAGCUGGCCCUGCAGGAGCUGCAGGGCCCAGGCUACUCCUCAGCUUCUGCCUCAGGGGAGCUGCAGCACUCUGUGCCUCGGUCCCACCUGCUCUCUGCUGUCUGGCCACAUGCCCUGCACCUGCCCAGCUCUGCCCCCCAGAAGCCUACCAAGCUGGACAUUUUGAAGGAAGAACCAUUGCAGGAUCUGAAGAGGAUUUCUUCAAGAAUUAACAAGCUCAGACAGUGAACUUCCCUCUGUGGAUCUCAGCAGCCAUGGUGGGAGAAAAUCCCUUUUAACAACCAUGAGGAAUGCAGGGUGUCCUUCCUGCUCACAUCCUGCAGAUCCUGAGUCCCAGAGUGUUUCCCUGCUCCUGACAUCCCUUGUUUCUCAGCCCAUGGAACUAGUGAGCCCACAUCAAAGAGGCUACAGAACAAGAUGGAGAGCCUGCAAAACCUGGUGGAAUCAUCUCAGAUAAAAAACCAAGCCAUGUCUCCAAUGAUCAGAACUCAGGAGGUGAAGACAAAGAAAUGCAAGGAAAAGGAGAAAAAGCUGUUCAAGUGAAGGCACUGUAUGCAUUAGUGAUUGCUUUCAUGUAGAUCCAUUGU